UUCUCUUUUUCUUAUCAAUUUCAUUUUUUUUUUGUUAAAUCAGUGAUAAAGUUAAUUUAAAGGGGACUAAAGUGAAUAUUUGAUAAAUUUAGAUGGGUAUCUGAAGUUUUUUGUAUAUAAUGUAAUGAAAUAUUAACGAAAAAGCUACCGAAAAGAUAAAAACGAAACCACAGGGAGACAAUUUGAUACCAUUUUAAACCACAUGGGGGUAAAGUGAGAAACUACGAAACCACAGAGGGGGUUUUUGAAGUUUUUCCUAAAAUUUAUAAAAUCUAAAUAAAUUAUAGCAACAAAAAUAAUGUGACAAGAAAAAAAAAUUAUGGCUCUUAGAUGAAAAAGAUAUAAAUAGCAUUGCUCUUUUGAAAGCUAAAAGAAAAAUUCUACUUGUAUAUUCAAAAAAGAUGUAAAUCUUACAUU
rnacentral:lncRNA from 1 species